CUUAGUUAUAAUAAUAAAUUACAUUUUUUUUUGAAAAAUUAAUAUUAAAUCUAAAACUUUUUACUCAUUAUUUUUAAACUUAAUUUCUUAAGAUUUUAUGGGUUAGAUCUACGUUCUUGGAGCCUAUCUAGACGCUAAAAAAAGCUAGUAGGUAUACCAUUACGAAAAAUUAACCCAGAAUACGACCCUGCAAAAGAUCUUAUGUUCUCACAACAAAUUCAUUUCACGUCAAUUGGAUUCUCAGCAGCUGAAAUUAUUUCAUCUUCAUUUCGCUAUAAUCGACAACCAUAGGACAUCAAUAAUUCAGCGUUAUUUGCUGCUGAUACGGCUGUUACGUUCACUAAGUUCGGCGGCGGGUGAUCAUGUAGUUUAUAUGACUUUACCGUUGUGCCAGAGGUGACAGCUGAGGCUCUGCAGCCUUUGAGUCGUCUAGAGCAAUACCACUGGACGCUACCAUCAAAAUUCUUAUUUUGAACGCUAUAGGUGAACCCAGAGAGUAGAAGUAGUGGAUGCUUUGAACCUCUUUUGGUCCAUAUAAACGUUCCUGGAAAGUAUAACUUAUUAGUUUACAACUAUUUACAUAAAUUUUCAUCAUUAUUUCUAACGAGUAAUUAAGUUAUUUGGAUAAAUUGCU
rnacentral:misc_RNA from 1 species